CCUGUCUUGUCUUCAUGCCCACUGUGCAGCAGCUGAGAUUUUCACACCCCUCAGGAUGCCUGUGGAGUGAGGUCACAAGGUAUUUCAGUUCUGUGAAGGAAGUGUGACUCACAGCAAAGGUGGGGGAUGACAGCCAAGCCUAGGUACCAAGAUCGAAAGCUUCCGAGUUUCUGAAAAUUGUGAUGGUCAAGGUCAGUUGAGACAGGCUUGGUCCGGCUAACGCAGCGACGGUGGACACAUGGACUGGGAGAUGAGAAAUGAGGUACUGAAUUAUGACAACAAAAUAGCCGAAGCUGUUCUACACACUGAAGCUGUCAAGGAAACAGUGAAGUCAGGAACAGAAGUGCCCAUGGGCAUGCGUAUAGAACAGCGCAUCAAAUCAAGCACCAUGCUGAAAGGUUAGCUGAAAAGAUCUGAGGAAGUCAAUGUCCCUUUCUUCCCAUUUAAAGGUGAAGACAAACACACUUCCAUAUAUGAAAAUAUGGUUUGUAUAACAAGUUACUCAAAAUGUACUUGGACAUGUGUACAAACACUCAUACACAAUCAGCAGGGUAGAUGUAGCAUUUAUCUUGUAUGUGGGUACAAACACACACAAUCAGUGAGGUAGGUGUAACAGUUAAUUUGGACCUGUAUACACACCACACACACACACUGGCCAUUCUUCUCCGGGGGACUAUUCUGUCUGACCUUUCUGGUGUCAAUCCCAUGUCUCUUAUGGAGCAGUGUCUUAUUACUCUGACCCUUGGUCAACUCCACACAAGUUUAUCAUCUGUGUGGUUGAUGUGAGACAGGCACACUUGGACGGUAACUAUUCAUCUUUCCUCUCAAAUUGUAGUCCUUUUGGAGACAAGGAUUGUCUUUUACAAUUUUAUAUCCCCCAAAGCCACUACCAUGCUGCCUGACAUAACAGUUGUUUAUGCAAAUAAUAAUUCAUUUAGCAGAUCCUGAUUGAGCCGAGAUGUAGCACUCUAAAACAAUUCUUUUUAUUUUAAGUGGUUUGAGAAAGAUACAUUGCUGUGGGAUGGUCUGUAUGUCAAAUUGCUCUCAUUGGUCAAUAAA